CCAGAUACCAAUAUGGCGACCAAAACGAAAGAAACUGAUGAAGAACGGAUCGAAACAGCAGAAAUUUACAAAGCCGAAGGGAAUGAAUUUUUUAAAAAGGAAGAGUAUAAAUCGGCCAUGAAGAGAUACCAUUUUGCAUUGUUGUAUUUAAAAGGAAUUGGUGAAAAACACCCUAUAACAGGGCAACAACAUAUUCUGACAGAUGAGUGGAAGAAGCGAUUUGACGAAAUGAAAUUUAGUUGCUAUAAUAAUUUAGCAGGUUGC